CCUGGAGACUCCUACGGGAGGCAGCAGUGAGGAAUAUUGGUCAAUGGACGUAAGUCUGAACCAGCCAAGUAGCGUGCAGGAUGACUGCCCUAUGGGUUGUAAACUGCUUUUAUGCGGGGAUAAAGUCAGCCACGUGUGGUUGUUUGCAGGUACCGCAUGAAUAAGGACCGGCUAAUUCCGUGCCAGCAGCCGCGGUAAUACGGAAGGUCCAGGCGUUAUCCGGAUUUAUUGGGUUUAAAGGGAGCGUAGGCUGUUGGUUAAGCGUGUUGUGAAAUGUAGAUGCUCAACAUCUGAAUUGCAGCGCGAACUGUCCGACUUGAGUGCGCGGAAAGCAGGCGGAAUUCGUUGUGUAGCGGUGAAAUGCUUAGAUAUGACGAAGAACUCCGAUUGCGAAGGCAGCUUGCUGUAGCGUAACUGACGCUGAAGCUCGAAAGUGCGGGUAUCGAACAGGAUUAGAUACCCUUGUAGUCCUAG
rnacentral:rRNA from 1 species